rnacentral:rRNA from 1 species
UGAGUAACCUGCCCUUAACUCUGGGAUAAGCCUGGGAAACUGGGUCUAAUACCGGAUAUGACUCCUCAUCGCAUGGUGGGGGGUGGAAAGCUUUAUUGUUGGUUUUGGAUGGACUCGCGGCCUAUCAGCUUGUUGGUGAGGUAAUGGCUCACCAAGGCGACGACGGGUAGCCGGCCUGAGAGGGUGACCGGCCACACUGGGACUGAGACACGGCCCAGACCUCCGUACGGGAGGCAG